UCUGUGCCAUGAAUCAUGCUAGAGGAUUACGUCACAAUACUGUAUACUUGAGCUGCUCAAUCUUGUUCUUCAGGGGGUCUGAGACUAGCACUAUCCGCUGCUUCUCUUCGGUGCAGGUCUCAUUAAUCGUCGUCUGUAUACCAACAUGGGGGGGAAAGCCAUUUUUGUGUCACUUUUGCUCGGAUACUUUCACGUAGCCAGCCCCAUGACAACCAGAGGUUCCACAACCACCGCAGGCCCCAUGAUGACCGGAGGUUCCACAACAACCGGAAGUUCCACUACAAACAGAGGUUCUACAACAGCCGGAGGUUUCGCAACCAUCGCAGGCCUCAUGACAACCGGAGGUUCCACAACAACAGGAGGUUCCACAACAACAGGAGGUUCCGCAACCACCGCAGGCCCCAUGACCACCGGAGGUUCCACAACAACCGGAGGUUCCACUAUAAACGGAAGUUCCACUACAACCGGAGGUUCCACUAUAAACGGAAGUUCCACUACAACCGGAGGUUCCACAACAACCGCAGGCCCCACAACAACCGCAGGCCCCACAACAACCGCAGGCCCCACAACAACCGCAGGCCCCACUACAACCGGAGGUUCCACAACAGCCGGAGGUUUCCCAACAACCAGAGUUUCCUCUACAAUUGGAGGUUCCACAACAACCGGAGGUUCUACAACAACCGGAGUUUCCACUAUAAACGGAAGUUCCACUACAACCGGAGGUUCCACAACAACCAGAGGUUCCAUAACAACCGCAGGCCAAACAACAACCGCAGGUUCCACUACAACCGGAAGUUCCACUACAACUGUAGGUUUUAUGUCAACUUCAGUUCCAGCGACGACCGGUUCUCCUGUCCUCCCAGUCAAGGCACAUGUACAAGUCAAGAUGAUCUCCUAUGGAGAAGUCAGCAACGGAACCAUAGCUUCACUCCUUGAUCAGUUCCUCAGUAGUCAGUUCCCUGCUGGAGAGGUUUACAGGCUCACGGUGAAAAGUAUCGAAAGAGUGCCGUAAUGAAUGCAGUUAAUUUCUCACACGUUUACAUCAAUGAGUUGCGAAAAGAAACACAACUGGACAUCCAAGAAAACGUCAAAGUAAAAUGUGAUCUGAAACGGUAUCGUGCAAAAAUGUUUAAUAAAAAUUAAAUAAAAACAAUGUAAAGAUAAAUGUUAAAUAAUGUAAAAUUGAGGUUGUUCUGUUGGUAUUUUUUUUACCCAAUUUACUUCUGAAAAUAUCAAUGUUAUCAUAUCCUUUGGUUAUAUAUAUAUAUUAUGAUAGCUUAUAUAUAUAUUAGCUUUUAUUUAGGUUUUUGCUGGAGGAUUGGUCCUCAAUGGCAGUCUUCAAGGGAUCUGGGGGUAGGUUUGGUUUACGACUGACGGGAGGAAUGAUGGAAGAUGCCUAGAUGGGUCAGAAACGUUUGACUUACUUCAUGAAUGGAUAUUUGGACUGUUUUGCGAUGUUUCGUCUAACUGCGCAGGAGACAUCAAUGAUGUUAAUGUCCCCGAACUUGCCUUUCUUCUAAAGCCCUUUUGGCAAAAAUAUAUACUAACCCUUUAUACUUUUAUUAAGCUUUUUCCACGCCCUAUUGAUCUCCGAUCCUGUUUGUAAGUGUUGUAUUAUAUUAUACAGUUCCUCCAGUUACACAGAUACUAAUAUGUCCAGCCAAUAUUAAUCCGAAUCGUUUUUUUAUCUGGGUUCUUAUCCCCGGUACCAUUUAGGGUCUUCCUUCGUGCACCUCAGCAGCUGCAUCACCUCAACAUGUCUCUUUCCCUUCUCCUACCUUCAAGUUCCUUGCAACAAUGCUUUCCCAUAUAAUGUCACCAUGUGGAUAAUCGCGAUUCAUUCAUAAACCAAGUGACAUCCAGAUUGAUCUUCAACAAAUUGUAAUAUUAUAACCGUUUUCCAUUUUUUUGUUAUCACUUAAACCGGCAACAAGGUAAUUAAUAAGAGACACCAAACUAUUAAAACCAUUUUUAUAUCU